ACAUUACUUUUUAUCAAUAAAGUCACUUCAAUUCUUUCUCUUUCUCUCUCUCUCUCUCUCUCUUCAUAGGUUUGUCUACAGGUCACGUGGUGGGCAUUGUGAUUGGUGCGUUGGUUGCCGUGGUCAUCAUCAUUGCAGUGAUCGUAGUGAUCGUCAGGAGGAUGGGCCAAUACUCGCCUGCAAAGAAACGAAAGCCUCAGAAACAGGACAGCAUCCUGAUCUCCGUAAAGACACUAUAUUCAUUGAUUAAUUGCUAAUCCCUGUUAAUUACAACGGUCUAAUGAUGAAUCUAAGAAUCUAACACAAACCAAAUAAUGCUCAAUGUUGCAUCUUCUCUAGUAGAUAUACCAUCAGCAUUAAGAGUGUUCCCAGGGAGUUCAGGUAUCUAGAUUGAUGCAGUGGAGGUGAUCCAUAACGGUCGCUGUCCAAUUAACACAUAAAACCUUCUUAACUUCUUAAAGGAAUUCAAUGAAAAAAUAGUUUAUUUCAGGUCAUUUUGGAGAAUUUCUAUUGGUCCAUUCAUCAAGUAAUUUUAACAGAGUGUUAGGGACAAUUUGUUUGUUCUAAUUACAUAGUAAACUAAAAAUCGACAAAAAUUUUGUUCAAUCAGUUUCGUGUUUUUUAUUGGACAUAUAUACAGAUACACCCCUUAUCAUUUUCAUGAUUUCCUUUAUACAUAAAUCAUUGUUUUUUGGGAUUGUUGUUGAGCUAUUUCCGGUAAAUAUAUCUAUAGCAGAUGAACACAUGUAUCUCCAAAACUGAAGUGAUCAUUUUUGGAAAGCUAUCAGGUCCAAUAACUUUGAACUAAUACUAGCAGUAAAGAAUUAAAUGUGUUAAACUUAAAUUUAACCAAAUUAACGCCUACUUUGCACUGUGAACUGUUCUUAAAACCAUUUGCCUUCAUAUGCUUUGACCCUGCCCCCCUACACACACACAAACACACACACACACACACAUAUCUACAGCUCUGGAAAAAAAUAAGAGACCACUUAAAAAAACUUGAUGAGUUUCUUUGAUUUUACCAAAUUGAAAACCUCUGGAAUAUAAUCAAGAGGAAGAUGGAUGAUCACAAGCCAUCAAACCAUCCUAGCUGAACUGCUUGAUUUUUUGCACCAGGAGUGAGUAGCAUAAAGUUAUCCAAAAGCAGUGUGUAAGACUGAUGGAGGAGAACAUGAUGCCAAGAUGCAUGAAAACUGUGAUUAAAAACCAGGAUUAUUCCACCAAAUAUUAAUUUCUGAACUCAUAAAACAUCAUGAAUAUGAACUAUAUAUAAUGCUUUCUUUUCAUUAUUUGAGGUCUGAAAGCUCUGCAUCUUUUUUGUUAUUUUAGCCAUUUCUCUUCAUUUUCUGCAAAUAAAUGCUCUAA
rnacentral:lncRNA from 1 species